UGCUGAAGUGCUGUUAUCCGUAUGAGUAAAGGGUGGCAGAACCAAUGGGAGAUUAAUGCACAGGCCCACAGGGCCCGUGCCUAGGGGCGCCAGCCAAUUUGGGGGCCCCUGCAGGAGCGCCGGAACCUGUGCAGAAGUGAGGGUGCCACUGGCUCCAGAACUGUGGCCCCGCUUGUCCUCUUCCCCUGUGGCUCUGUCCCCUGCCAGGCUGGAAGCUGGAGCCUGGCUGUGGUAAGAGGCGCCCAGGGAGCCGGGGCCAGUUGUGGGGAGCCCUGGCCCCUUCACCUGCCCAGGGUGGGGGCCAGGGAGCCUGAGAGCAGCCCACAGUCUGUAUCCCCAGGGUAGGUGGAGAGUCCGGGCCUCCCCACUGUGACUUGGGCUACCUGGGCAGCUCUUACCACAGGCCAGCUUCCGGCCAGGCCUGGGAGUGGAGCCUUGUGGGGGAAGAGGAGGACCAAGAGGCAGGACCCCAUGGUGAGGGGAGCUGGGGAGACCAAAUGUUCUUUGUACCCAGCUCCCCAAUAAACCUUAAUCGGCCUCUGGGUGGUGUGGGCAGAGCCACGGGAGCGGGCGGUGAGGUUGGUGGCUGCAUUUGGGCCAGACUGGAGGGCAGCGGCCAGGAGCCAGGUAGAGCAGCUAAGGGGAGUCUGGGUUAGUUGAAGUCAUGACACCCGCACUGGAUGGAUCAGGAGCAGUGCUUUGAGGACUGGCCCUGCCGCCAUAGCCCUGAUUGGCUGGGGAUGGGCACACAGGAGAAGCUGACCUCCCGCCCCGUCCCUCAGAGCCCUGGCUGGCUGGAGAGCUGGCAGGAAAUCCUGCCUCUCCUGCCUGCUGCCAGCCCUUCUCCCACCCUUCGAGAAGGGGCUGUCGGAGAGACAUGUGCUGUCCCUGCAGGGACACAGCAGGGCCCAGGGGAGCCUGAGCUCAGGGCUGGGAGCUGGGCCCAGGGAGCCGCCCUGCGCAUGUGCGAACGGGCCCUGGCCCAGAGGGAAGGAGCCUGUUGGUGCCCGAUGCAAGCAGAGCCUAUCAGGCCUCUGGGAUUGGUGCCCGGCCCCCUCCUGCUGAUGGUUCUUGGCAGCGACGCGGGGCUGUGGCCAGGCUGAGGAGGGUACCAGGGUGGGUCUCUGCUCUGGAGGGAUUCUGGGUGAAUUCCUGCCUCCCCGCGGGUGUCAGAGUUUGGAGCAAUCCAGCAGGGAGAGGCGCCCCAGUGCCCAGCGGAUAACUGAGGCCUACAGCUGGGCCAGCGGAGGGACAGGGAGGCGAAUGUGCUGAGAAUACGCCCAGCUGUGGAGCUGGGAAUAUCCUCUGUAAAGCCCUCACAUCACUCGGCUCUCUCCUCCCCACACAGAUCAGGGGAAAGGGAGCCUCCGGCGCAGCAGAGCCAGUGACAUGCGGGUAGCCCAGGCCUGGCCCAAGGACUGCAGCGAGAUAACCUGGAACAGGGUCAGUGGCGUCUUUGUCAUCCAGCCCACAGGACUCCAUCAAUUCGAGGUCUACUGAAAGCUGAACAGCACCAGUGAGGGCUGGACGGUUCUCCAGCGGAACCGGCACAACACACAGAUCACCUGGGCUGAGUCCUGGAGCACCUACAAGUACGGCUUUGGCAACGUGCAGGAUGACUACUGGUUGGGAACGGAGUACAUCUAUCGGAUCGCCAAGCAGAAGGUCUACCAGGUCAGGUUUGUCAAUCCACAAUUCAUCCGGCACCAUGAAAUACGCAGACUACAACCUCUUCGGUCUGGAAGACGAGUCCAAAGGCUACAGGCUGAGGCUGGGCUCUUACACUGGGAUUGCAGGGGACGCCAUGGCUUCAUACAAUCCUAGCACCAUGCAUGACAACAUGAAGUUCUCUGCUAAAGACCUGGAUCAGGACACUUCCAGUGGGAACUGUGCGUCUAGCUCUGGUGGGGGCGAGUGGUACUCGGCUUGUCAUUCUGUUCGACUGAACAUCAAAGGGAGCAUCACUUGGGGUAGUUUCUGUAGCGGGAACUGCCAAGCCUCCGUCAUCCUCAUCAAACCAGCGUCCUACUGUUAGUCCCCCCUUCCCCACCCUCCUGUCUGCAGUGAGGCCAACCCCUGCUCCACGAAGGGAGGGAAAAGGGUCAGAGUGUAUCAUGGCCAAACCUCCCGCCCGCUUUCACAGGCCUUGCUGGGGGAAGUAUCAGGGUUACCCAGGAAACGGGGACACUUUCCUUCUCCUCUCCCUCCCUGCAGACUUUCUGAGCUUUUUUCCACUGGGCCUUUCUCCGCUGGGCUGACUCCCAUGCACCAGCGUUCGGCUGGAGUGACUCUUCCGCGUCAUUUUAGCUCGGCGAUGCGAUGAGCAGGCCUAGAGGUCACUGGAAAGGUGAAAUCCCAAGCAUGGCGGGAGCUUCUCAAACACCCUCUGCAUGGCCCUGCCUCGGGAUCCAGGCUUUGAAAUAAACACACACUUCUAAGCA